UCUGCAGUCACAUAACAAGAGCAUUCACCGUGAGUACUAAAGGAAGCCGAGUCGGCCGAGCAGAAGACGCGCUGGCCCACAUGGGUAGUUCUGUGUUCAGUGGAAUCACACUUACAAAAUUUGGAGGGAUUGCGGUGUUGGCCUUUGCCAAAUCUCAAAUCUUUGAGAUAUUUUACUUUAGGAUGUACUUAGCCAUCGCCUUACUUGGAGCCACUCAUGGGCUGCUAUUUCUUCCCGCCUUACUCAGCUACAUAGGACCAUCGGUAAAUAAAGCUAAAAGACACACCACUCAAGAGCGAUACAAAGGGACCGAGAGAGAACGGCUCCUCAACUUUUAGCCUUGUAGCAGGCUUUGGUGACUUUGUCUAUGUAGAGGUCAAGUUUCUGCAGAACAGCUGUGCUGGAUGCCGCUUGCUCCUAGGCAUUAGGCUGGGUCACAGCUGUGGCAAAUGCAGCUCCACGCACACUUUUAAACUCAGGAAUGCACCUAUGACUGUGAAGCAGUAUUAUGGAAGCUGAAGAUGACAGUUCCUGGCCCCUACAGCAUUAAAAAAAAAAAACAAAACCUUAUCUUGGGCAAGAGGAAGGAUACUUGGAUGGCUGCAAACGUGACCCAGUUACCAUCUGAGAAGCCACUCAGUCCACGUGCUAUCUCCUUUUUCAGGAAAUAGCCACCACACACAUUCUAUAGCUUAUUUUUUAGCAACAUUUGAGGAUAUUGUAGGUACUUUAUUACAACAUUCUGUAGUUUAAAGAGCUUUAUUAAUGCAAUAAAUUAACUUUGUACAUUUUUAUAUUUAAAAAAAAAAAAAAAACUAUCAAGGGACUUCAGAAUGUCGUAGGCCUCAUCAGAGCUUGUUCUCCAAAAACCUGCUUGAAAAAGGCAACGUGUUCUUCACAGUGUUCUCCUGUGGGGAAAUGUAGCCUCAGUCACCAACAGUUAUGGCAUGGGAAGAAGGGAAUGCAGACAGAACUCAUGGGUUUUAACUUAUUUUUCUUUAAUAAAAUACCUCAUCCUCCUAAA